rnacentral:lncRNA from 1 species
AAAAAAAAAAAAAAAAAAAAAGUCUCACAACCAUAACCAGGUCUUAAACAAAACAGCAAAAAGCUCUAGACUUCCAACUCCACCCAGCCCCAUGCAGACUCCACAGCCACUGAUGGACGCAGGAAAGUGUGGAAGAAAAAUACACCAUGAAGGGGAGGAGGAACUGGGGGAGGGCAAGUGAAAAGGGGGGAUGUGUAAGACAAUGACUUCUCUAGUGGUGUGCGGCCGUCACUUGGGGUCACAGGGGAGCUGGUGACUGAUGGUCGGCAGAAAGCAAGGGGAGGAGCCAGGGCAGGAGGUCCUGACCUGGAGAAGGAGAGCCGCCCCCCUCCGGAUCCUGAGCCCGUGGCCCUGUCAGGGCCCGAGUCAAAGUCCUGACUUGGGAGCAUUCGUCAGCUCAAGUGCUUUCCACGAAAGUUUCCAUUCCUCCUGCCAAAUUAGGAGGCAGGGAGGGAAUUCAGCUUUCCCAGCUCAGGGGCCAGGCAGGCUUCUUGGGGGCCAUGCAGAAGGCUCCUGGAGGGUGAGAGAGGAAGUGCAGUUGCCUGGUGAGGCCAGGUCUUUGAAGAGGCCAAGAGAUGGCGUUCCCAACAGAAGAACGGCCUGAAGUUGAAAGGCCCUGGGGGUGUUAAUGUCUCUGCUUUCUCCAGAAAGAUUUAGGACGUCAAGUCGUCUGAAAAGAUUUCCUUUUUGGAGAACAAGCCCCGCUCUUUGGGGUACCGGAGGGUCUCUAAGAAGCACUGCCUGUCCCAGUUUCUACAAAGUUGGGGCCGCCUCUCUGGGAUAGGCCAGUCCAGCUCUGAAAGCUGAGCCAAGGGGCUGUUUCUGGAAGUUGGAAGAAUCAUGGUGAAACGGCACAAGUAUGGGCUGUUCAACAAUUAACCAGGCAGCGUGGAGUAUCAUCACAGAGAAUCUACGAUGUGCUACUGUGUGCUCUCUGCUAGAAACUGAAGGAAUUUAUAGCAACGAAACAGUCUACGGGCUGUGCUGAGACUUCCUAAGCAGUUUCAGAUC